CGAUAACGAACGAGACCUUACUCUGCUAAAUAGCCAGGCUAGCUUUGGCUGGUCGCCGGCUUCUUAGAGAGACUAUCAACUCAAGUUGAUGGAAGUUUGAGGCAAUAACAGGUCUGUGAUGCUCUUAGAUGUUCUGGGCCGCACGCGCGCUACACUGACAGAGCCAACGAGUUCUUCACCUUGGCCGAAAGGUCUGGGUAAUCUUGUUAAACUCUGUCGUGCUGGGGAUAGAGCAUUGCAAUUAUUGCUCUUCAACGAGGAAUGCCUAGUAAGCGCGUGUCAUCAGCAUGCGUUGAUUACGUCCCUGACCUUUGUACACACCGCCCGUCGCUACUACCGAUUGAAUGGCU
rnacentral:rRNA from 1 species